rnacentral:rRNA from 1 species
GUGAGGAAUAUUGCGCAAUGGGGGCAACCCUGACGCAGCAACGCCGCGUGGACGAUGAAGGCCUUCGGGUUGUAAAGUCCUUUUCUGAGGGACGAUAAUGACGGUACCUCAGGAAUAAGUCCCGGCUAACUACGUGCCAGCAGCCGCGGUAAAACGUAGGGGGCGAGCGUUAUCCGGAUUUACUGGGCGUAAAGCGCACGUAGGCGGCGCUGUAAGUUGGACGUGAAAGCUCCCGGCUCAACUGGGAGAGGUCGUUCAAUACUGCAGUGCUUGAGGUUGGAAGAGGAGAGUGGAAUUCCCGGUGUAGUGGUGGAAUGCGUAGAUAUCGGGAGGAACACCAGUGGCGAAGGCGGCUUUCUGGUCCACACCUGACGCUGAGGUGCGAAAGCGUGGGGAGCGAACGGGAUUAGAAACCCCUGUAGUCC